CUUCUUCUGUGGGUUUGAUGGCGGGACUACAACCCAAAAUUGUCUAUUGCCGCCACCAACUGGACGGGUUGAAACCAAAACAAGGAGCACAAAAAAAUCUAAGCCAGCCCGCCUCUCGUGAUCCUAACAGACUUCACUCUACCCAGCCGACUAAAAACGAGGGCUCAGGGGCUUACGUUGCAAACUUCCCUUGCUUGGCUAAUCAUUUGGACCACCCUCCAAGAUGGCGACGGGGAUUCCCCCAAGGGCAUAAGGUUAGAUCAACAACAGGAUCUGGGAGUAACCAUGGAGGAACAUCCCCUAUCAACACAGAAGGGCCAAUCUCCAACUCCCUCAAACCCCUCUCAUCAACAAGCUUUCCAACUGUCCAACCAAAACCACUGCCUUGUCUACUAGUAUAUUCCCAACAGUCGUCUAGAGCAGUAGCAGUGGGAUUCUCAACCUCACAGCCUUUCAACCUAACCCAAUAAGCGAAUGACAAUUUGUUACGCCGUAUAUCCAAAGGCAUCUCACCUGCCUUCACUAGUAAGGCAUAUACAGAUGUUAAUUUAAAUGCACCAAUACAUAUCCUUUAAGCUGUAUAUUGGAUUCUGUCCAGCCUCUGAAGCCAAGUUUUCGCCGCUGUUCCAUAAACUAUACACCCGUAAUCAAUUGUCGUCCUGAUCAGAGCUCUAUAAAUAUCAAUCAACAAUUGUCUGUCCCCAUUCAUAACCAGAGACUGAGCGCAUAAGAUUCACCACCACCUUACACUUUGUUUCAACAUUUAUGACAUGAUCUUUCCAUGUAUAUCGCUCAUUGAAUCAUAGACCCAAAUAUUUAUACUUAGAAACCCUCCUCAUAGGCUGUCCAUACAGAAACAACUGUAUAUUAUGACAUGAUCUUUCCCUGUAUAUCGCUCAUUGAAUCAUAGACCCAAAUAUUUAUACUUAGAAACCCUCCUCAUAGGCUGUCCAUACAGAAACAACUGUAUAUUAUGACAUGAUCUUUCCCUGUAUAUCGCUCAUUGAAUCAUAGACCCAAAUAUUUAUACUUAGAAACCCUCCUCAUAGGCUGUCCAUACAGAAACAACUGUAUAUUAUGACAUGAUCUUUCCCUGUAUAUCGCUCAUUGAAUCAUAGACCCAAAUAUUUAUACUUAGAAACCCUCCUCAUAGGCUGUCCAUACAGAAACAACUGUAUAUUAUCACAAUCAGCAACUUUCUUCUUCGAGAAGAACAUACAACAAGACUUCGCCACCGACAAUUCAAAACCCCAGUUAAUCGACCAUCUUUCAACAUCCACUAUAGCUUCUCUUCCAAAUGUACUAUCUUCUUCUUUGAGUUUUUUAUUGGCGGAUCACAACCAACUGACAGGUGCAUACACCGCCACCUACUGUACUGGAGUGUGAGGCCGGUCACCAGCUGUCUAUACCACAAUAUUCUCUUAAUUAACCCUGAAUUUCGAACACAGGAGGUUGGUGACAAAUACAUCAAUUUGAUGCCAUUCUAUUCCAGCUAUUAUUAUGAGCCAUCCUCCCCUCAGCAGCUUCCUGUGAUUUCGAACAAAAUGCAAAAAUUCCCUACAAACCUCACUAUUCCCAAAAUACCACCCAAUCCCCAUUCCCUUCUGACCCUGUCAAACAACCUCUCCCUUUCUGCAUCAUACAUUUCACAAAAUAGUAAUACAUCUUCAACCGUUUCCUCUACCAUGCAGCCAUUACACAUUCCAGUACCAUGGUAACCUAUCAAUCUCAAAGAGGAAUUCAAUCCCGAUCCCGUAUGCCCUAAUCUCAUCCUAGACAACAUAACUUCCUCCCUUCUGUUUCCAUUUCAUGACACUCUAUCCCAUUCAGAUUAUUGUACUAUCAAAAUGUCUGCCAAAAUGUUUAUCCCAUUGUCUCUGCCAACAAUCUAACCCAUUUUUCAGAAUCUGUUUUCAUUUCCCCUCUACCCACCUGCACCUGUUUAGAGUGCCACAGUAUGAGUCAUAAUACCCGUAAAACUUAGCUGUCAAAAAAGGAAAUUCUAAUUGUUUUUCUACAAUACAUCUUUCCAAUACGGGAUUUUAGAAACACUUGAAAUAAGGGCUGUGUUUCAUGUAGGCUUACCCUGGUGUGACGUUUUGAUAACCGUGUAAACCUCUCUAAGACAAGGUGACUUAUCAAUAUAUUCGGGCUCUAUAUCCACAAUAUUAUUUUCCACAGCUUUUUUUUGCUAUUAUAACUACCAUAUUAUUUCCAUUAACUCCUGUAUGAACCGCAAUCCAAUAGAACUGAAUUUCAAUACAAUUUCUUUGUAAACCGAACAAUAGCAUCACCACGUCUAAACAUAAAUCCUCACGUUCUGACUUUCCAGAUCUUAAACUACACAGCCUAGUAUCUUCUUCAUCGGUGCUGACGUGCAUGGCUAGAUACUUAGCGCUGCCUGCAGGGUGGAGGGUGGCUGCUGCACACACUGUACUGUUGAGAGCCAGCACGUGUCAAGUGAGUGCUGCAUGGUUGACAUUCAUGAAGCCAGCUAACUAACUCGUAAAUUAUUAGGUUACUCCUGUGUACUUUUUGUAAGUUAACAAAAUUGCAUCCAAUUGCAAAAGAGUAGAGAAGUCAUAUUUUGAAGAGCAACUUGAACAUGUAUUUGAGCAAAUUCAGUGAUGAGUUCAAUUACUGUUGUUGUUUACUGUUUGGCUAUGGAGGAUGAUGAUCGUUCAUGGCCUUGGCUGUCACCCAGUUGGUCACCAGUCUGAGUUGUUGUUGAUGAGAAUUGACUGGCAGUUCCAGUAGAGCAUACUUUUGGUCAUGUAGGGUAUGUGGACACAUGCUCAUCGAACAUUUCAUAGAGCUGGUCCCUCCUUUGCUGUUUUAACACCCUCCUCUCUUCUUGGAAGGCUUUCCGCUAGAUGUUGGAACAUUGCUGUGGGGACUUGCUUCCAUUAAGCCACAAAAGCAUUAGUGAGGUGGGGCACUGAUGUUUGGCGAUUAGGCCUGGCUCGCAGUUGGCGUUCCAAUUCAUCCCAAAGGUGUUCGAUGGAGUUGAGGUCAAAUCAAAGCACAUUUUUAUUGGUCACAUACACAUGGUUAGCAGAUGUUAAUGCGAGUGUAGCGAAAUGCUUGUAAUAAGCUGGGAGCAACAAAAUUGAGUCAUGGUCAGAUUUGCCGAAGGGAGGGCAGGGGAGGUACUUUGUAUGCAUCGCGGAAGUUAGAGUAGCAAUGGUUGAGAAUGCUACCAGCCUGUGUCACGCAUUCGAUAUGCUGAUAGAAUUUAGGAAGCCUUGUUCUCAGAUUAGCUUUGUUAAAAUCCCCAGCUACAAUAAAUACAGCCUCAGGAUAUGUGGUUUCCAGUUUACAUGGAGUCCAGUGAAGUUCUUUCAGGGCCGUCGAGGUGUCUGCUUGGGGGGGAUAUACACGGCUGUGACUAUAAUCAAAGAUAAUUAUUUUAGUAGAUAAUGCGGUAGGCAUUUGAUUGUAAGGAAUUCUAGGUCAGGUGAUCAAAAGGACUGAAGUUCCUGUAUGUUGUUAUGAUCACACCAUGAGUCGUUAAUCAUAAGGCAUACACCCCCACUCUUCUUCUUACCAGAUAGUUGUUUGUUUCUGUCGGCGCGAUGCGUGAAGAAACCUGGUGGCUGUACCGACUCUGACAACAUAUCCCAAGUGAGCCAUGUUUCCGUGUAACAGAGAAUGUUACAAUCUCUGAUGUCUCUCUGGAAGGCAACUCGUGCCCUAAUUUCAUCCACCUUGUUGUCUAGAGAUUGGACAUUGGCGAGUAAUAUGCUCGGAAGCGGUGUAUGGUGUGCUCGCCUUCUUAGUCUGACCAGUAGGUAGUACCGUCUACCUCUCCUGCGGCGACCGCGUUGUUUUGGGUCGGCCUCUGGGAUAAGAUCCCACACGGUGUAAGUAGGCACACCACAAUGCUAUUACACUCCAACUUAGCUCAGGUGCAUCCAAUUUCCUUUGAUCAUCCUUAAGAUGUCGCUACAACUUGGUUAGAGUUCUCCUUUGGCCAAUUAAAUUGUUUGGACAUAAUUUAGAAAGAAACACACCUGUCUAUAUAAAGUCCCACAGUUGACAGUGCAUGUCAGAGCAGAAACUAUACAAUCAAGUCCAAGGAACUGUCCGUAGAUCUCCAUGAUAGGCAUAUAUCUGGGAAGGGUAUAAAACAAUUUCUAGAGUGAUGAAAGUUUCCAAGAGUACAAUGGUCUCCUUCAUUUGGAAAUGGAAAAAAAAUGGAACUACCCAAACUCUGCCUAGAUCUGGUCGUCCAACCAAACUGAGCAAUCGGGCAAGAAAGACCUUGGUUAGGGAGAUGAUCAAGAACCCACUGACCACUCUGACAGAACUGCAGAGUUCCUUGGCUGAGAUGGUAGAACCUGCCAGAAGGACAACAGUCUCUACAGCACUUCACUAAUCUGGGCUUUAUGGGAGAGUGGCCAUAAUAUUCUGUGGUCUGAUGAAGCAAAAAUGUAACUAUUUGGCCUGAAUGCAAAGCUCUAUGUCGGGAGAAAACCAGGCACAGCGCAUCACCCAUCUAACAUCAUCCCUACCAUGAAGCAUGAUGGUGGCAGCAGCAUGGUCUGGGAAAACAUUUAUUUAACUAGGCAAGUCAGUUAAGAACAAAUUCUUAUUUACAAUGAUGGUCUACCAAAAGGCCUCCUGCGGGGAUGGGGGCUGGGAUUAAAAAUAUAGGACAAAACACACAUCACGACAAGAGACACCACAACACUACAUAAAAAGAGAGACCUAAAGACAACAACAUAGCAUGGUAGCAACACAACAUGGCAGCACCACAACAUGGUAGCAGCACAAAACAUGCUACAAACAUUAUUGGGCACAGACAACAGCACAAAGGCAAGAAGGUAGAGACAACAAUACAUCAGGCGAAGCAGCCACAACUGUCAGUAAGAGUGUCCAUGAUUGACUCUUUGAAUGAAGAGAUGGAGAUAAAACUGUCCAGUUUGAAUGUUUUUUGCAGCUAGUUCCAGUCACUAGCUGCAGCGAACUGAAAAGAGGAUGUGGGACCCAGGGAUGUGUGUGCUUUGGGGACCUUUAGCAGAAUGUGACUGGCAGAAUGGAUAGAGGGAAAAAUGAAUGGUGCCAAGUACAGGCAGAUCCUUGAUGAGAACCUGCUUCAGAGUGCGAACGACCUUAGACUGGGUGAAGAUUUUACGUUCCAACAAGACAAUGACCCCAAGCAUACAGCCAAAGCAACACUGGAGUAACUUCAGAACAAGAAUGUCAAAGUCCUUGAGUGGCCCAGCCAAAGCACAGACUUAAAUCUCAUAAAAAAUCUGUGGAAGGACUUGAAGAUUGCUGUUCACCGCUGCUCCCCAUCUAGCUUAGCAGAGCUUGAGAAAAUCUUCAAGGAAGAAUUGGAGAAAAUAGCCAAAUCCAGAUGUGCAAAGCUGAUAUAGACAUACCCAAGACGACUCAAAGCUGUAAUCGCUGCCAAAGGUGCUUCUACAAAGUAUUGACUCAGGAGUGUAAGUGAGAUAUUUCUGUAUUUCAUUUUCAAUACAUUUGCAAAAAUGUCUUAACAUGUUUGCACUUUGUUAUUAUGAGGUAUUGUAUGUAGAUGUGUGAGAAAAACAUAUAUUUAAUCAACUUUGAAUUUAGGCUGUAACACAACUAAAUGUGGAAUACGGGUAUAUGAAUACAUUCUGAAAGCACUAUCUUUGACUGCAAAACUAAAUAAAAUAAAAUGACCAUCAAUAGUUGUAUUUUUCUUUUUUCUAAACUUUGUGCAAAAAUCAAAUGGGGGAACAAUGCACACAAUGGGGCUUAAGCUUUUUUUUCCGGAUGUAAUGAAUGGGUAGGGCCAGGCGUUAGAUUUUUUUGUAUUUUAAUCAUGUGACCUCGAGACCAAUAUAGCGUCUUCUCACAUCACGUGUGAAUUAAUUGCCACGUGUUCAUACCAUGAUCAUCUAACCUAAUUAUCCAAUUAGUUCAAAAUAAAUGUUGAACCAUGUGGAUUGACUUCAAAUGAAAUGCUUAUCUUAAGGACAUUAUCAAAAAAACAUUUUAACGUAUUGUCUGUUAUCAACAUUAUAUGGGAAUAAUAACCAUUUUAUCUAAGAAAAUGUAGCCUCUUUCCAUACAAAGUUACCAUUUUCAUUCGCUAUCCGUGUAAAAGCAUAAAUGAAGUGCAUUCCUUAAUACACAUGUGAAGAACAGAGGCGCAGUCUGGUCAAAAAGACAGAAGGCAUCUCCAUAAUAACAGACGAAUCCACUGACACAAAAUACCAAUAUGUUCUAUAUAUUUUGUAGGAGAGCUGGGUGAAGACGUUCAAGUUGUUCUGGCUGAUACAGUGUAUUUACAGGCAGUGAACUAUUUCAACAGUAGCAGAAUAUCAUUCUGAGUACCUGCGCUUUUAUGCGAGUUUUGUGGAGGCAGAGAAGCAUAUCUCUCCAAAUAAUGUAGUCUAACAGAGUGUGAGAAAUUGCCGGGUGGUUAUUUCUAUAGCGAAUGAAAAUAGGCUAGCAAUUUAUGUUCUGAGAAUAGUCUACAUUUCCCUCUCUACAUUUUCUUAUAUAAAAAGGCUUAUCAAUAAUGUUUGUACCAUGUUUUGUGCUGCUACCAUUUUGUGCUCUUGCAUGUUGUUGCUACCAUGUUUUGUCAUGUUGUGUUGCUACCUUGCUGUGUUGUCACGUGUUGCUGCCAUUCUAUGUUGUUGUCUUAGGUCUCUCUUGUCGUGAUGUGUGUUUUGUUCUAUCUUUUUGAAAUCUUUUUUUUUAUCCCAGCCCUUGUCCCCGCAGAAGGCCUUUUGCAUUUUGGUAGGCUGUUGUUGUAAAUAAAAAUUUGUUCUUAACUGUCUUGCCUAAUGAAAUAAAGGUUUAAUAAAUGAAUAAUACCCAUAUGUUAAGAACAGAAAAUGAA